rfam:Schistosoma curassoni strain Dakar, Senegal genome assembly, scaffold: SCTD_scaffold0004550
GCACUGCUGAGGAGUCCCGUACUAGGACAAAACGGCCGUCCAGUGC